rnacentral:rRNA from 1 species
CAGUGAAAUUGAACUCGCUGUGAAGAUGCAGUGUACCCGCGGCAAGACGGAAAGACCCCGUGAACCUUUACUAUAGCUUGACACUGAACAUUGAGCCUUGAUGUGUAGGAUAGGUGGGAGGCUUUGAAGUGUGGACGCCAGUCUGCAUGGAGCCGGCCUUGAAAUACCACCCUUUAAUGUUUGAUGUUCUAACGUGGACCCGUGAUCCGGGUUGCGGACAGUGUCUGGUGGGUAGUUUGACUGGGGCGGUCUCCUCCUAAAGAGUAACGGAGGAGCACGAAGGUUGGCUAAUCCUGGUCGGACAUCAGGAGGUUAGUGCAAUGGCAUAAGCCAGCUUGACUGCGAGCGUGACGGCGCGAGCAGGUGCGAAAGCAGGUCAUAGUGAUCCGGUGGUUCUGAAUGGAAGGGCCAUCGCUCAACGGAUAAAAGGUACUCCGGGGAUAACAGGCUGAUACCGCCCAAGAGUUCAUAUCGACGGCGGUGUUUGGCACCUCGAUGUCGGCUCAUCACAUCCUGGGGCUGAAGUAGGUCCCAAGGGUAUGGCUGUUCGCCAUUUAAAGUGGUACGCGAGCUGGGUUUAGAACGUCGUGAGACAGUUCGGUCCCUAUCUGCCGUGGGCGCUGGAGAACUGAGGGGGGCUGCUCCUAGUACGAGAGGACCGGAGUGGACGCAUCACUGGUGUUCGGGUUGUCAUGCCAAUGGCACUGCCCGGUAGCUAAAUGCGGAAGAGAUAAGUGCUGAAAGCAUCUAAGCACGAAACUUGCCCCGAGAUGAGUUCUCCCUGAGACUUUAGGUCUCCUGAAGGAACGUUGAAGACGACGACGUUGAUAGGCCGGGUGUGUAAGCGCAGCGAUGCGUUGAGCUAACCGGUACUAAUGAACCGUGAGGCUUAACCUUACA